rnacentral:rRNA from 1 species
GACGAAGGAUGCAAGCGUUAUCCGGAUUCAUUGGGUUUAAAGGGUGCGUAGGCGGACCUGUAAGUCAGUGGUGAAAUCUCUUUGCUUAACAAAGAAACUGCCAUUGAUACUGCAAGUCUAGAGUAUAGAUGACGUUGGCGGAAUAUGACAUGUAGUGGUGAAAUACUUAGAUAUGUCAUAGAACACCGAUUGCGAAGGCAGCUAACGAAACUAUAACUGACGCUGAGGCACGAAAAGUGCGGGGAUCAAACAGG